CAACCAGCUUGUAUUUAAUCGUGCUGUGCAUGGUGACACCUUUUGCCAUGGGACUUGGGGAGUUAAAAGAGGGCCACCUUCCCUCUUUUCAUAUGUCUCCAUCCCCAAGAUGAAAUAUUAGGAGGACUGAAAUCCAGGAAGUCAGAGGGGUGGAGCUGAAUUCUACCCCUAGUUAAUAAUUAAGCAGAACUGUAUCAGGGAUUAGUUGUUAGUUAAUAGAGAACCAGAGAGCCCCGCAGGGCCCCAGAGGUGGCUGAUAGGGUGGCGUGGGGCACCUGCUAUGAUGUUCUGUGAGUCUCUACUGCAUUCAGGAUCUGUGGCCACGCCCCUUUUCUUUCCACUCCAGCUCCAUUGGCUCCCAUGGUGCCCUUUGCCUCGACCAUGCACUCUUCUAUCUCAGGACGUUUGCCCUCAUCAUCCCCUCCACCUGGGUCCAUCUUCCCCCAGAGAACCUCCUCUCAGGACUCACUCCUUUUCAUCUUUGCUCAAAAGUCACUUCAUCUCGAUGAUCCUUCCCUAACUACCCUACUGUAAAUCUCAGCCCUCCCCCAUUGCUACCACACUGUAUAAUGACUGAUUCAAAUAUAAGCUUCGCUGGGCCAGAGACUUGCUCUCUCUUCACCUUGGUUGUGGACACUCACUGGGUGUCUGUCUUAGCACUGUAUUCGCCCUUGACACCUCCUAAACCACAGCUCCGUAGACUUCGGUAAGAAUAGCGCCUCCUAGUGUGGCAUAACACUGCGAUAUAGAGCCCAUUGUUUGUCAAAAGGAGGCCGCUGGUAGCUUCUUCUCUCUGCUUACCUUCUCAACUCCCUGGCUGUUCUAAAAAUCCUGUCAACAGCUUCUAAGGCUGCAGUUCAUUUUCGAAAGCUGCCCCAUGUCAGGACGGGGAAGCUGGCAUGAAACACCAGGCCGAUUGUGUUUGUUCGUGGUUUAUGUUCAAACUCUGACAUCUUAUUUCUGAGAGAUGUGAGAAAAGCACUUGAUAGGCUGUCUGCGGCAGUUUCUCCUAAGGGGUCUGCCAAAAACUGCGUGCAAUCUCAGGGUCUGGUUUUCUUCGCCUUCUUCAGGUGAGCUUGUUUAUAGGGAGGAAACGUUUGUGCCGCUCAGCGGGUUUGAGAAACCCAAUGGGAAUGGCUGUUUGUUUGUCUUUUGAUCGCAAAGCCUGUGGUUUGGCUCUAAGGCUGAAAGGUCUCCAGGCCUGUUUAUCUCCUCCCCUUGAGACUCUAAUCUCUCCUCUGACAUUCCUUCGGCCCAGAGGGUGGCUGGGGAGUGGGGGUAGGGCCCUUGCAGGUGGACAGAGAUUCCACAGCUGGUGCGUCCUUAGACUGACCUCCCACCAGGGACUGGGGUUUCAUUCAGAGAUUGGCUGCAGUGCCUAGCCGCUCCCUCCUUCUUGGCCUACAAACAACCCAAAGGAAGGGAUACCUGAGCCACCCACCCUUUCCAAACCCCAGUUCACAUUCCUUUGGGGAAAGGAAUCUUUUGUUUUAAGCCACAUCUUAUCACUUGCCUUUUAUGGAAUGGGAGCACUGAAGUCAAGUGAACGGUCGCCAUGUGCUGAAUCCCACCCGCCUGCUCUGGAAACGUUGCCAGGCCAGGCCCCCCACCCCACCUCUGUUGUGUGGUGCCCCCCCCACUUCCCGAAGACAGACUGCUGGGCACCCCAUAGCCCAGUGCAAUGUGAGCUGCCCAUGCCUGGCCUUAAACCUCAGUGAGCAGAGACAAUUUUCUUUGAAUCAGCAUUCAGUACCACGCGGUGUUUCCCACAGGGGGACAGAGUGAGAAAAUGAAAUUCAAAUCACCCCUCUGGUACACUUUUCACUCCCUUUCCUGAUAAGGCCCAGAGAGAAGCCGAUUCCGUAGGUGACCAGGCGGGUAUUUAUGGGGGCUGCUCUCGGGGCUGAGGACACAGGCGCCUCCAGAUCUUGAUCUUUGACCCUGGGCUUGUUUCCCCAAGUAGCUGAACGGCCUUGUAGGGUGUGUGGCUGCACCCGUGUCCCACCCCCACCUCACUUGGUACCGGGUGGAGUAAGCCCCUGGAUAUCCCGCAACCUUGAGAGACUGAACCGAUUUUGAACUUGCUUCCUCAACUCAUCCCACCCCAGAGUAGACAGCUUUACAUCUUUCUUGAAAAUAAAGUCUGUUAUAUUUCCCAGAAUGGUUCCCAGCGCUGGAGAUAAUUCCUUUUCGGAGAACCUACAUUUCUCACCUGCUGAUUGCAAUUAGCCACUGCCAGCUGGGGCCUGGUAUGCAGCUGAAACGCUAACAAGAAGUGGAGACCACGCGGAACCCAGACAGGGCAGACGAUGUGAAUAAGUGAAAAUGUGCAGUCACAGCUGGACAUGAAAAUCUUGAACUCACAAGUGAGCUCACAAGAGAGGCAGGUGGAGAAGGCUGCUGAUAAAACGGGCUCUUUGACUGUACACAAGCUGUUAUAAUCACCUCAAUGGAUUUCUCCAUGUGGACUUGCCCUGUGGGCUAGUUUGGACUUCCUUACAGCAUGGCUGCUCCCGCCUGAGUGUUCCAGCGAGCAAGGCAGAAGUUGCAUCACCUUCAC